rnacentral:rRNA from 1 species
GACAGAGGGUGCAAACGUUGUUCGGAAUUACUGGGCGUAAAGGGCGCGUAGGCGGCCGCUUGCGUCGGAUGUGAAAGCCCGGGGCUCAACCCCGGAACGGCAUCCGAUACGGGGCGGCUGGAGACCGGGAGAGGAGGGUGGAAUAGCCAGUGUAGAGGUGAAAUUCGUAGAUAUUGGCUGGAACACCGGUGGCGAAAGCGGCUCUCUGGCCCGGUUCUGACGCUGAGGCGCGAAAGCGUGGGGAGCAAACAGG